rnacentral:rRNA from 1 species
ACUGAGUGGCAAACGGGUGAGUAUAAUGUGGGUAUCUACCCUUUGGCCUGGAAUAACACGAGGAAACUUGUGCUAAUACCGGAUAAGUCUUUACGGAGAAAGCUUUAUGCACCAUUGGAUGAGCCCGCACUUGAUUAGUUUGUUGGUAGGGUAAUGGCCUACCAAGACUAUGAUCAAUAGCUGAUUUGAGAGGAUGAUCAGCCACACUGGGACUGAGAUACAGCCCAGACUCC